rnacentral:rRNA from 1 species
AUUGAACGCUGGCGGCAGGCUUAACACAUGCAAGUCGAACGGUAACAGGGAGAAACUUGUUUCUCUGCUGACGAGUGGCGGACGGGUGAGUAAUGCUUGGGAAUCUGCCUUAUGGAGGGGGAUAACCACUGGAAACGGUGGCUAAUACCGCGUAAUAUCUUCGGAUUAAAGUGUGGGACUUUCGAGCCACACGCCAUAAGAUGAGCCCAAGUGAGAUUAGGUUGUUGGUGAGGUAAUGGCUCACCAAGCUUACGAUCUCUAGCUGGUUUGAGAGGAUGACCAGCCACACUGGGACUGAGACACGGCCCAGACUCCUACGGGAGGCAGCAGUGGGGAAUAUUGCACAAUGGGCGCAAGCCUGAUGCAGCCAUGCCGCGUGAAUGAAGAAGGCCUUAGGGUUGUAAAGUUCUUUCAUUAGUGAGAAAGCGGUUAUAUCUAAUAGGUGUAACCAUUGAUGUUAGCUAAAGAAGAAGCACCGGCUAACUCCGUGCCAGCAGCCGCGGUAAUACGGAGGGUGCGAGCGUUAAUCGGAAUGACUGGGCGUAAAGGGCACGCAGGCGGUUAUUUAAGUCAGAUGUGAAAGCCCCGAGCUUAACUUGGGAAUUGCAUUUGAUACUGGGUAACUAGAGUCCUCUAGGGAGGGGUAGAAUUCCAUGUGUAGCGGUGAAAUGCGUAGAGAUGUGGAGGAAUACCGAAGGCGAAGGCAGCCCCUUGGAGAGAGACUGACGCUCAUGUGCGAAAGCGUGGGUAGCAAACAGG